GAUGAACGCUGGCGGUAUGCCUAACACAUGCAAGUCGUACGAGAGUUUUUAACUCUAGUGGCGGACGGGUGAGUAACACGUGAGAAUUUGCCUUUAGGAGGGGGAUAACAAUUGGAAACGAAUGCUAAUACCCCAUAUGCUUUUGAGUGAAAUGGAUUUUAUCCGCCUAGAGAGAAGCUCGCGGCUGAUUAGCUUGUUGGUAAGGUAAGAGCUUACCAAGGCGACGAUCAGUAUCUGGUUUGAGAGGACGAUCAGACACACUGGAACUGAGACACGGUCCAGACUCCUACGGGAGGCAGCAGUGGGGAAUUUUCCGCAAUGGGCGAAAGCCUGACGGAGCAAUACCGCGUGAGGGAAGAAUGCCUAUGGGUUGUAAACCUCUUUUUUCAGGUAGGAAUAAAAUAGACGUGUACCUGAAGAAUAAGACAUCGGCUAACUACCGUG
rnacentral:rRNA from 1 species